GCCUUUCACUUCUGGAAGUGUUGCGUGUGCAUCGGUCUGUUAGUCGUGUUUUGUGCGCUAAAAUGAUAACGGGGACGGCGCUUUUUGGUGUAGUUAAAAUGCAGGAGGUUCAAGAGUCUUGUACUGGUAGAUCGAGGUCAGCGUGGCAAGCCUCCAGGGUGGGAAGCCUGAGCGGACUCGGGGGUACUUUAGGUCGCGCGGCGGCCACGUGCAGCCCUGGGCGCUGAGUCCCGGGCCGCGCGCCCGUGGGCCCUGGUCCCACGGGCAAAGGCUCAGUGCAUCUGACGACUCCGGGAAGGUCAGUAAUCCUGCUGUCGGCUUCAUGUGGCCGUCGUGAAUCCACCCCGCCACUAUUAUUACAUAUACUAACGCCGCACGCGGAUACCACCAGUUUGAUCCACACGGAAGCCGAACUAAUUGUUCCGAUGGGUGACGGCACACAUGACAAGGAAUCAGGAAAUCCAAAGUGACCUGGUGAAGCCUUAGCAUCCUGCUGUGCGCUGCACAAACGUGAUUUUAAAUUUCAACAGAUCCAGGAGUGAGUGGCAAAUACUGUUCUGGAAACUACAGGCAAUAUUUUUUAUAUAGGUCUGAAUGUUGUUUUUAUAAAACAUUUAAGAGAAUAAGUGAGUGCCUCCUUGUUAAAUAAAAUGCUUGAUUCUCUGAA